CCUACGUGUGGCAGCAGUGAGGAAUAUUGGUCAAUGGGCGGAAGCCUGAACCAGCCAAGUCGCGUGAGGGAUUAAGGCCCUGCGGGUCGUAAACCUCUUUUGCCGGGGAGCAGAGGUCCGGACGUGUCCGGGCCGGGAGAGUACCCGGAGAAAAAGCAUCGGCUAACUCCGUGCAAGCAGCCGCGGUAAUACGGAGGAUGCGAGCGUUAUCCGGAUUUAUUGGGUUUAAAGGGUGCGUAGGCGGGCAUUUAAGCCGGCGGUCAAAUUUCGGGGCUCAACCCCGGCCUGCCGGCGGAACGGGGGGCAUUGAGUGGGCGAGAAGUAUGCGGAAUGCGUGGUGUAGCGGUGAAAUGCAUAGAUAUCACGCAGAACCCCGAUUGCGAAGGCAGCAUACCGGCGCCCUACUGACGCUGAGGCACGAAAGUGCGGGUAUCGAACAGGAUUAGAUACCCCAGUAGUC
rnacentral:rRNA from 1 species